AUGGACUAUUACAAGCAUAGCAAUUUAAGGAGGAAGGCUAGGAAAAGAGUGGAUAAUUUAAUGCAAAAAAUAGUCACUCUGCCAUCUGGUAAAGAAGGCGAGAGCAUUAACCAGCAUCUUGAAAGUCACAUUGAUGAGCCUGAGCUUAAUAGGGAAGGAUGUCAACAAGACAUGCGAGAACCCCUUGAUAGCCUGAUUGAAGAGAUUGUGCUCAAUAGGGAAGGAUGUCUUGAUAUGGAAGACAGCAUUGGCUGUAGUGGUUCUAGCAGUGUGAAGAGCGACCAUGAAAUUUUAUUGGGCAGCUUAGGUGACUGGGCAGUUAGAUUUGGGGUGUCUUUGGUGGCUCUGUCAGCCUUACUGUCAAUUCUUAGGAUAUACUUUCCCUUCCUGCCAAAGGAUGGAAGGUCACUGCUUAAAACAAAGACAGACUACAAAGUGGAGAUGCUUGCUGGUGGCUCAUUUCACUAUUUUGGUAUAGUGAAUGUUGUCCAAAGAAAGUUCACCAGGUUAUUAUCCUCUUUUCCAGAAGGCUAUGAAUUUCUUUUACAGCUAAAUUUUGAUGGAUUACCUCUUUUUAAAAGCUCAUCCAUUCAGUUUUGGCCCAUUCUGGGUAAAUUACCAAGACUCUCCAAAAAGCCUUUUGUGAUAGCAUUGUUUUGUGGGACAGCAAAGCCCAAAACACUGUCUGACUAUCUAAAACAUUUAGUUCAAGAGCUGAAAAGCAUCAGUACUGGCUUUGUUUGUCAGGGCAAAACAUUUCUCUUGAAAGUUUGUUCUGUUAUUUGUGAUGCACCAGCAAGGGCAUUUAUCAAAGGUAUCAAGUCCCACACUGGAUAUUAUGGCUGUGAUAAGUGCUUACAAAGAGGAAUAUACACAAAUCACCGUAUGACAUUUCCUGAGCUCACUGCUGCAUGUAGAACAGAUGAAUCCUUUAGAUUAGAAGCAAAUGAAGAUCACCACCUUACUCAUUGUCCUCUGGUAGAUACUGGAGUUGAUAUGGUUGCUGGUUUUCCCCAUGAUUACAUGCACUUAGUGUGUUUGGGUGUUAUGAGGAGACUUCUUGAACUGUGGGUUGGCACUGCUGGCUCUUUGCGCACCAGAAUUUCGUCUUUGCAAGCAUCCUUAAUCUCUGAUAAACUUUUGGCAUUAGCACAUCAUAUUCCAUCUGAAUUUGCAAGGAAACCUCGGGCACUCAAUGAGAGACUGAGGUGGAAAGCAACAGAACUGCGCCAAUUUUUGCUGUUCACUGGUCCUAUAGUUUUGAAAGGUGUCUUGCUGCCUCAAGUGUAUGAUAACUUCAUGCUUCUUUCUGUUGCUAUCUAUAUUUUGGUUAGCCCGCAGUAUUGUUUACAAUUGAACCACUUGGCUCAUCAUUUUCUUGUCUCAUUUGUGGAGCAUUAUGGCUUGCUAUAUGGUAAAGACCAAGUAGUGUACAACAUUCAUGGGUUAGUGCAUCUUGCUGGUGAUGUGAAGGUACAUGGCCAUUUAGAUGGUAUCUCUGGCUUCCCUUAUGAGAACUUAUUGGGUGAACUUAAGAGAAUGAUAAGGAAAGCUCACAAUCCUCUACCACAGGUUAUACGCAGGUUAUCUGAACAUGAACAGAGGGGCUGUGAUUUUGAUUCACCCAUUGAGCAGGAACCCUUUUUAAAAUCUCCACAUCAUGAUGGGCCAGUACCAGAGGGCCUUUUGGAAAAUGUCAGUCAGUUCAAGCAGUUGACAGCCGAUGGUGUCAUUCUAAAAACAUCAAGUAAAGAUGACUGCAUUGUCAUUGACGGGAACGUUGUUUCUGUGCAAAACAUAGUUAGUCAUGAAGACAAAGUGUAUGCCAUGUACCAGGAGUAUAGAGUCAAAGAAGCACUUUACAGUUACCCACUCGACUCAAGGGAACUGGGAAUAUACAUCGUCUCUCAUUUGUCUCCUGUGAUGCACUGUGUAGAGAUGGUUAAGCCUGUGCAAAAGUGUGUGCGGUUGCCCUUGGGAGACAAGUUUGCAGUGUUCCCUCUUCCUCACACAAAUUAA
ensembl:lncRNA